GUGUUGACUAUUCCUAAUCAACUUAUGCCUAUCGAGAUGAUUAUACAUCCUUGUGAUUUGAAAUAAACCUGUUGGACUAUAACCAGGUGUGGUGUGACUGCUGACUUUAUCCACUCCUAUCCAACACCCAAAACCUCCACAUCACACUCAAUCUUAACACAGAUUUUCCAGGGAACAGUGGGCUAGUCGUGGCUAAACGAAAUGAUCGGUGACAUGCCGGAAACUGAUGUGUGGCUCGAGAGCCGGACAAGUCGGAUACAACCUGUUAAAUUUCUGUGUUUUUAUUAAAUCUAGUCCUUAAGAAGGACAAUCGAUUUGAGGCUUUUACUCUGUUUCUGGUGCUACCUCAACUGCUGUGUAUUUCCAACCCGUUCUGGUUCUAUCUCAGACUUCAGCAGUGCAGGAUUUUCCCUUUGGAACUUAGAUUAGACACAAGUACACACUGCACCUCAAAUGGGAACUGCGACCCUGCCCAUUAACCCCAGAAAUCCUUCACGAUUCUUUCACAGCUCUUGCUCUCAACUGCAUGCAAAUGUGGAGCUGCAUUUUCAAACUGAAAUUCCUUUUGAAAUGUGCUGUUUUUGAAUUUACACUAUCUCCACAUCGUCACCUCAUUCCAGCUAUUUCUAAACCUAUUUCUAUUAGUUGGCGUUCUCUCAGUUUUAAUCCCAAUGGUCUGAAUCUCACAUUUCUUGUACUCAAUCCAAAUAUCAGUCUGUCCUUGAUCCAGAGGCUAAUGGAGCUUUCGUGUGUUUCCAACAUUUUCUGUUCAAACUGUUCCCUUUGAAAACCCACAAGGUAUUAAAGCCAUUCACACACAAGUCAUUCAGAUAAAAGAACUGCCGAACACUUCAGGGAACUUGAUUCAGUGGGAGGGCAGCAAGAUUAAAAAAAAAAUACAUUUGUUUGAUUCAUUUUCGCGCCAGAUGCUGAAGAUUAGACAAACGUAUACCUUUCACCCCGUGCUCAGUGACACUGAUGGGCGGCUCUUUCACACCCCUCGCCCUUCUCAUGACCUUACACGAGUCCCGCUGCCCUAGGAUUACUGGCUCAAACCAACUUUCCAGAUGGUCUCCCUUCAAACACUGUAGAUCAUUCUUCAUUCAGAGAGAAACGCUUUUUCCCCAUUGUGCCUCUGACAGCAGCGAUUGGCUGCUGAGUGUGGGAAUCGCAGAGAAACCUGGACUCACGCUUCUUCCCUGUCCUCUCGCACUUAUAAAUACAGGAGAUGUUGGUCAGAACCGCAGCCCGCGUCUCCGCUCACUACCAGUUCCAAGAAGGUGGCGACUUACUUACAAAUCCAUAUCAAUUGCAAUUCGAGAAAGCUAAAAUGUUAAACGCAUUACUGCAGAGAUUGCACUGGCUAAAUUCGGACAUUUAGAAGUCAUUGCGUUGGAAAGGAAGGAUGACUUCCUGGAACGGAAUCGGUAACAAGUCUCGGUUCGUGUUCCACUGAUUGCACACCAGAACAACCGCGGACCUGCUGCCAACUCGUUACACUGAGAUGCAAAUUAAGAA